rnacentral:rRNA from 1 species
GCUUUUACAAGGGGAAACCGCGAAUGGUCAUUAAAUCAGUUAUGGUUCACUAGAUCGUACAGUUUACWUGGAUAACUGUGGUAAUUCUAGAGNUAAUACAUGCACUCAGCUCGCUUCUUCGGGAGCGAGCGCAGUUAUUAGAAUAAAACCAAUCCGGCCUUCGGGUCGGUAAAAUUGGUGACUCUGAAUAACCGAAGCGGAGCGCAUGGUCUCGUACCGGCGCCAGAUCUUUCAAGUGUCUGACUUAUCAGCUCGUAGUUAGGUUACGUUCCUAACUAGGCUAUUACGGGUAACGGGGUGUCAGGGCCCGACACCGGAGARGGAGCCUGAGAAACGG